rnacentral:rRNA from 1 species
GGAUAACGUUUGGAAACGAACGCUAAUACCGCAUGAUAUUAUCUUAUCGCAUGAUAGGAUGAUCAAAGGAGUGAUCCGCUGAAAGAUGGGCUCGCGUCCGAUUAGGUAGUUGGUGAGGUAACGGCCCACCAAGCCGACGAUCGGUAGCCGGACUGAGAAGUUGGACGGCCACAUUGGGACUGAGACACGGCCCAGACUCCUACGGGAGGCAGCAGUAAGGGAUAUUGGUCAAUGGGGGAAACCCUGAACCAGCAACGCCGCGUGAGGGAAGACGGUUUUCGGAUUGUAAACCUCUGUCCUCUGUGAAGAUGAUGACGGUAGCAGAGGAGGAAGCUCCGGCUAACUACGUGCCAGCAGCCGCGGUAAUACGUAGGGAGCGAGCGUUGUCCGGAUUUACUGGGUGUAAAGGGUGCGUAGGCGGCUAUGCAAGUCAGUAGUGAAAUCCAUGGGCUUAACCCAUGAACUGCUAUUGAAACUGCACAGCUUGAGUGAAGUAGAGGUAGGCGGAAUUCCCGGUGUAGCGGUGAAAUGCGUAGAGAUCGGGAGGAACACCAGUGGCGAAGGCGGCCUACUGGGCUUUAACUGACGCUGAGGCACGAAAGCGUGGGUAGCAAACAGGAUUAGAUACCCUGGUAGUCCACGCUGUAAACGAUGAUUACUAGGUGUGGGGGGACUGAACCCUUCCGUGCCGGA